rnacentral:tRNA from 1 species
GCUUCAAUAGUUUAAUUAUAAAACACUGGUCUUGUAAACCAGAAAUGACGAUAUAAAUUUCUUGAAGUA